AUUGAACGCUGGCGGCAGGCCUAACACAUGCAAGUCGAGCGAGCGGCGGACGGGUGAGUAAUGUAUGGGGAACUGCCUGAUGGAGGGGGAUAACUACUGGAAACGGUAGCUAAUACCGCAUACCAUCAGAUGAACCCAUAUGGGAUUAGCUAUUAGGUGAGGUAACGGCUCACCUAGGCGACGAUCCCUAGCUGGUCUGAGAGGAUGACCAGCCACACUGGGACUGAGACACGGCCCAGACUCCUACGGGAGGCAGCAGUGGGGAAUAUUGCACAAUGGGCGCAAGCCUGAUGCAGCCAUGCCGCGUGUAUGAAGAAGGCCUUCGGGUUGUAAAGUACUUUCAGUCGGGAGGCGUUACUGACAGAAGAAGCACCGGCUAACUCCGUGCCAGCCGCCGCGGUAAUUG
rnacentral:rRNA from 1 species